rnacentral:rRNA from 1 species
GUCGAGCGACGAGGUCCUUCGGGACCAAAGUAGCGGCGGACGGGUGAGUAACGCGUGAGCAAUCUGCCUUACACAAAGGGAUAGCCUCGGGAAACUGGGAUUAAUACCGUAUGACACUUGAGUAUCGCAUGAUAUUGAAGUCAAAGAUUUAUCGGUGUAAGAUGAGCUCGCGUCUGAUUAGCUAGUUGGUGGGGUAAAGGCCUACCAAGGCGACGAUCAGUAGCCGGCCUGAGAGGGUGAACGGCCACACUGGAACUGAGACACGGUCCAGACUCCUACGGGAGGCAGCAGUGGGGAAUAUUGCACAAUGGGCGCAAGCCUGAUGCAGCGACGCCGCGUGAGCGAAGAAGGUUUUCGGAUCGUAAAGCUCUGUCCUUUGGGAAGAAAAAAUGACGGUACCAAAGGAGGAAGCCCCGGCUAACUACGUGCCAGCAGCCGCGGUAAUACGUAGGGGGCUAGCGUUGUCCGGAUUUACUGGGCGUAAAGGGUGAGUAGGCGGUAACGUGUGUCAGAUGUUUAAUCUAUGAGCUCAACUCAUAUCAGCAUUUGAAACUACGUAACUUGAGUGCAGGAGAGGUAAGUGGAAUUCCUAGUGUAGCGGUGGAAUGCGUAGAUAUUAGGAGGAACACCGGUGGCGAAGGCGACUUACUGGACUGUAACUGACGCUGAGUCACGAAAGCGUGG